UACAGAGGUCUCAAGCGUUGUUCGGAUUCAUUGGGCGUAAAGGGUGCGUAGGCGGCGCGGUAAGUCGGGUGUGAAAUCUUGGAGCUUAACUCCGAAACUGCAUUCGAUACUGCCGUGCUUGAGGACUGGAGAGGAGACUGGAAUUUACGGUGUAGCGGUGAAAUGCGUAGAUAUCAGGAGGAACACCAAUGGCGAAGGCAGCACUCUGGGACGUGACUGACGCUGAGACGCGAAAGCGUGGGGAGCAAACAGG
rnacentral:rRNA from 1 species